rnacentral:rRNA from 1 species
AUGCUUAACACAUGCAAGUCGAACGGUAACAGAAAGUAGCUUGCUACUUUGCUGACGAGCGGCGGACGGGUGAGUAAUGCUUGGGAACAUGCCUUGAGGUGGGGGACAACAGUUGGAAACGACUGCUAAUACCGCAUAAUGUCUACGGACCAAAGGGGGCUUCGGCUCUCGCCUUUAGAUUGGCCCAAGUGGGAUUAGCUAGUUGGUGAGGUAAUGGCUCACCAAGGCAACGAUCCCUAGCUGGUUUGAGAGGAUGAUCAGCCACACUGGGACUGAGACACGGCCCAGACUCCUACGGGAGGCAGCAGUGGGGAAUAUUGCACAAUGGGCGCAAGCCUGAUGCAGCCAUGCCGCGUGUGUGAAGAAGGCCUUCGGGUUGUAAAGCACUUUCAGUCAGGAGGAAAGGUUAGUAGUUAAUACCUGCUAGCUGUGACGUUACUGACAGAAGAAGCACCGGCUAACUCCGUGCCAGCAGCCGCGGUAAUACGGAGGGUGCGAGCGUUAAUCGGAAUUACUGGGCGUAAAGCGUACGCAGGCGGUUUGUUAAGCGAGAUGUGAAAGCCCCGGGCUCAACCUGGGAACUGCAUUUCGAACUGGCAAACUAGAGUGUGAUAGAGGGUGGUAGAAUUUCAGGUGUAGCGGUGAAAUGCGUAGAGAUCUGAAGGAACACCAGUGG